rnacentral:misc_RNA from 1 species
AAAUGCGAUAAGUAGUGUGAAUUGCAGAAUUCAGUGAAUCAUCGAAUCUUUGAACGCACAUUGCGCCCCUUGGUAUUCCAUGGGGCAUGCCUGUUCGAGCGUCAUUUGUACCUUCAAGCUUUGCUUGGUGUUGGGUGUUUGUCUCGCCUCUGCGCGCAGACUCGCCUCAAAACAAUUGGCAGCCGGCGUAUUGAUUUCGGAGCGCAGUACAUCUCGCGCUUUGCACUCAUAACGACGACGUCCAAAAAGUACAUUUUUUACACUCUUGACCUCGGAUCAGGUAGGGAUACCCGCUGAACUUAAGC